GAUGAACGCUGGCGGCGUGCCUAACACAUGCAAGUCGAGCGGACAGACGAGGAUUUCUCUCCGCUGCCGUUGGCGGCGGACGGGUGAGUCCUACGUAUCUAACCUGUCUAUAGGACUGAGAUACCGUCGGGGACCCGGAGCCAGUACCGGAUAAUAUAUAGAACCGCAUGGUUCUUCAGUGAUAGACGGAUUUGCUGUCACUUAUAGGUGGAUCCGCGCCGGAUUAGCUAGUUGGUAAGGUAACGGCUUACCAAGGCAACGAUGCGUAGCCGACCUGAGAGGGUGAUCGGCCACACUGGAACUGAGACACGGUCCAGACUCCUACGGGAGGCAGCAGUAGGGAAUCUUCGGCAAUGGGCGAAAGCCUGACGGAGCAACGCCGCGUGAGUGAUGAAGGUCUUCGGAUCGUAAAACUCUGUUAGUAGGGAGGAACAAAUGUGUAAGUAACUAUUCACGUCUUGACGGUACCUAAAGAAAAAGCCCCGGCUAACUACGUG
rnacentral:rRNA from 1 species